GACGAACGCUGGCGGCGUGCCUAAUACAUGCAAGUAGAACGCAGUUGCGAACGGGUGCGUAACGCGUAGGUAACUGCCUCCUAGCGGGGGAUCACUCUUGGAAACGAUAGCUCAUACCGCAUACUGUUAGAUGAACCUGCGUUGUAUUAGAUAGGUGGUGAGGUAAAGGCUAACUAAGGCGACGAUAAAUAGCCGACCUGAGAGGGUGAUCGGCCACACGGGAACUGAGAAAGGGCCCCGACUCCUACAGUAGGCAGCAGAAGGGAAUGUUCGGCAAUGGACGGAAGUCUGACAGAGCACCGCCGCGUGAGUGAAGAAGGUUGUCGGAUCGUAAGGCUCGGUUGUUAGAGAAGCGGUAACUAGCCAGAAGGGGACGGCUAACUACGUGCGAGCAGCCGCGGUAAUUC
rnacentral:rRNA from 1 species